rnacentral:rRNA from 1 species
UACGGAGGGGACUAGCGUUGUUCGGAAUUACUGGGCGUAAAGCGUGCGCAGGCGGUUUUGUAAGCCAGAUGUGAAAUCCCCGGGCUUAACCUGGGAAUGGCAUUUGGGACUGCAAGGCUGGAGUGUGGCAGAGGAGACUGGAAUUCCUGGUGUAGCAGUGAAAUGCGUAGAUAUCAGGAGGAAUACCGAUGGCGAAGGCAGGUCUCUGGGCUGACACUGACGCUCAUGCACGAAAGCGUGGGGAGCAAACAGG